AGAAAGAAGCAUGAGUGGUUUAGUGCGAUUGGCUUGAAACCAAUAUUUGAGGGUUCGAUUCCUUCCUUUCU
rfam:Leptosomus discolor contig92923, whole genome shotgun sequence.